ACCUGCGGAAGGAUCAUUAAUAAAAGGAUACCUUCGGGUAUACCCCAUCCGUGUCUAUCUACUCUUGUUGCUUUGGCAGGCCGUGGUCUCCCACUGUGGGCUCUGCCUGCAUGUGCCUGCCAGAGGACCAAACUCUGAAUUUUAGUGAUGUCUGAGUACUAUAUAAUAGUUAAAACUUUCAACAACGGAUCUCUUGGUUCUGGCAUCGAUGAAGAACGCAGCGAAAUGCGAUAAGUAAUGUGAAUUGCAGAAUUCAGUGAAUCAUCGAAUCUUUGAACGCACAUUGCACCCGGUGGUAUUCCGCCGGGUAUGCCUGUUCGAGCGUCUGUAGAACAACACCAAGACCAAGCUUAGGCUUGAUUUUGAGGUUGCGGCUUCGGCUGCAGCCUUUAAGAGAGGUGGCGGCGUCCGAUGGACUCUAAGCGUAGUAAUUUCUCCUCGCUACAGAGUCUGCCGGCGCAUUUGGUACUCACUCCAAGCCAACCAAACCCCCCCAAUUUUAGUUUGACCUCGGAUCAAGUAGGGAUACCCGCUGAACUUAAGCAUAUCAAUAAGCGGAGGAAAAGAAACCAACAGGGAUUACCUCAGUAACGGCGAGUGAAGCGGUAAGAGCUCAAAUUUGAAAGCUGCCAACAGGCCGCAUUGUAAUUUGUAGAAGAUGCUUUGGGUGUUGGCCUAGUCUAAGUUCCUUGGAACAGGACGUCAUAGAGGGUGAGAAUCCCGUAUGUGAUUAGUGCCAUCCCCCGUGUAAAGCUCUUUCGACGAGUCGAGUUGUUUGGGAAUGCAGCUCAAAAUGGGUGGUAAAUUUCAUCUAAAGCUAAAUAUUGGCCAGAGACCGAUAGCGCACAAGUAGAGUGAUCGAAAGAUGAAAAGCACUUUGGAAAGAGAGUUAAACAGUACGUGAAAUUGUUGAAAGGGAAGCGCUUGCAAUCAGACUUGCAGGCGGUUGAUCAUCCGAGGUUCUCCCCGGUGCACUCGAUCGUCUUCAGGCCAGCAUCGGUUUCAGUGGUGGGAUAAAGGCUGUGAGAAUGUGGCUCUUCGGAGUGUUAUAGCUCACGGUGCAAUGCCGCCUACUGGGACCGAGGACCGCGCUUCGGCUAGGA
rnacentral:rRNA from 1 species